UACGUAGGGGGCAAGCGUUAUCCGGAUUUACUGGGUGUAAAGGGAGCGUAGACGGCGAUGCAAGUCUGAAGUGAAAACCUGGGGCUCAACCCCAGGAUUGCUUUGGAAACUGUAUUGCUAGAGUACCGGAGGGGUAAGCGGAAUUCCUAGUGUAGCGGUGAAAUGCGUAGAUAUUAGGAGGAACACCGGUGGCGAAGGCGGCUUACUGGACGGCAACUGACGUUGAGGCUCGAAAGCGUGGGGAG
rnacentral:rRNA from 1 species